rnacentral:tRNA from 1 species
AAUAAAGAACCUUUUAGGGUCACCUUGAUGCGGUGAACAAGUUUUAUACCUUUAUUA